AUCAAGGCAUGACUAGUUUUCUUCAGAAGUGCAGCAGUUUAAACAUGGGUUGAAGGUACUAUGGGGAGAUGGACAGCAGACAGUAAUGGAUCAAGAAUGAAGAACUGACAUGGAAACUGUUCUCGUGUGAAAGACUGUUCGGUUCACUGCUACAAGAUUCCUCUUAAGGAUCAAUACUGAGAGGACAGAGGGAAAGUCUUUUUCCAUGUCCUGUAAUGUGACUGUGGGAUGCAAACACCAAAGAAAACACUGAACAGCUAUGAUGGGUAGCUACGAACAAGGAUAAGAGGAACCUCUGUUUUUCAAGAUCCUGUACUUUCAGGAGAGAGUGAUUAUCACGUUGUGACACUGCCAGCUGGAAGCAAUGUCAUGUACAGGGCUUAAGCAGCUACCUAACGCCCCAAAUCAUGAGCUGGAGGAGGAAAGAUUUUUAU